CUGCAGUCACUGAUAGACCUUGGAAAGUGGCUGUUUUGUUGGUUUGCACUAGGAAGCAAAAGAAAAUAAUCCCUGCGCUUUCUGUCUGUCUUUAUGGCAGCCCAGAUUAAACUGGGAAAUACAACA
rnacentral:snoRNA from 1 species